AUGAACGCUAGCGAGAUGCUUAACACAUGCAAGUCAGGAAGAUAUUAGAUAUCUAUCGGCGCAAAGGUGAGUAAUAUAUAGAAACAUACCUCUAUGCUAGUCUUUAAAUAGGCUAAUAGUAAUGUAUAUUGAAAUAGUAUAUGUAAAGUAUAUUAAAGUAGGAAUAUAUUAUAAAGAGAGAAUCGUGUAGAGAUUGGUUUAUAGUGGAUUAGGUAGUUGGAUUGGUAAAAGCAGUCCAAGCCGAAGAUCCAUAGCUGAUUUGAGAGGAUGAUCAGCCACAUUGGCACUGAGACAACGGCCAAAGGCUCUUAAGAGUCACAGCAGUGGGGAAUAUUGGACAAUGGACGAAAGUCUGAUCCAGCAAUCUCGCAUGGGUGAAGAAGGCCAUAUUGGUCGUAAAACCCUUUUGACCAUGUAGAUAAUGACAACAUGGAGGAAGAAGUCCUGGCUAAUUCCGU
rnacentral:rRNA from 1 species